rnacentral:rRNA from 1 species
UCCUACGGGAGGCAGCAGUAGGGAAUAUUGGGCAAUGGGCGAGAGCCUGACCCAGCCAUGCCGCGUGCUGGAUGAAGGCCUUCUGGGUUGUAAACAGCUUUUCUCAGGGAAGAAAAAGACCAUGCGUGGUACACUGACGGUACCUGAGGAAUAAGCACCGGCUAACUCCGUGCCAGCAGCCGCGGUAAUACGGAGGGUGCAAGCGUUGUCCGGAUUUAUUGGGUUUAAAGGGUGCGUAGGUGGUUUGAUAAGUCCGGGGUGAAAGCCCACAGCUCAACUGUGGAACUGCCCUGGAUACUGUCAGACUUGAGGGUAGACGAGGUUGGCGGAAUAGAAGGUGUAGCGGUGAAAUGCAUAGAUACCUUCUAGAACCCCGAUUGCGUAGGCAGCUGACUAGGCUACACCUGACACUGAGGCACGAAAGCGUGGGGAGCGAACAGGAUUAGAUACCCUGGUAGUCCACGCCGUAAACGAUGGAUACUCGCUGGUGGCGAUAGACAGUCACUGGCUUAGCGAAAGCGGUAAGUAUCCCACCUGGGGAGUACGCUCGCAAGAGUGAAACUCAAAGGAAUUGACGGA